GUCUUAUAGCAAGGCUAUCUCUAUAGAUGUAUCAGUAGGACUGCCAGUCUUAUAGCCAGGCUAUCUCUAUAGAUGUAUCAGUAGGACUGCCAGUCUUAUAGCCAGGCUAUCUCUAUAGAUGUAUCAGUAGGACUGCCAGUCUUAUAGCCAGGCUAUCUCUAUAACACUCUACUGCCAGGUGACGGUAUUAAACAGUGGAAUAACACUCUACUGCCAGGUAUUAAACAGUGGAAUAACACUCUACUGCCAGGCGACGGUAUUAAACAGUGGAAUAACACUCUACUGCCAGGUAUUAAACAGUGGAAUAACACUCUACUGCCAGGUGACGGUAUUAAACAGUGGAAUAACACUCUACUGCCAGGUAUUAA
rnacentral:lncRNA from 1 species